AAGAAGUCUUUAUACAAAGCAAGUGAUUCUCGGCAUGUACAAGAAGCUUCGACUGUUGCAUCCACCAGUAAAGCAGUUAAGACUAGCGCCGAGCAAGAAUUUAAUAGUAGCGAAAGUGAGUUUGAUAUCGAUAGUGACAGCGAUUGGAAAGUCACCGAGAACGAUAUAUUUAAAAAAGAUACGCAAUAUACAAACAUCCAAGCAUCUCAAUCCAGAGAGGAAAUUUUGAGUGCUGUCAAGAAUGGUGAUGAUGCAAAAGACCAAGCUGAUGCAAAAUCGAAGAGGAAGAAAAGCCAAAGGGGAAAACAGACAGCUAAAUCGACCAGACAAUCUAACCCUUGAUAAUGCGUACUGAGCUCGAGCAACGUGUUUAGAAUUCUAAAGGCAUUGAUUAG